AGCGAACGCUGGCGGCAGGCCUAACACAUGCAAGUCGAACGAACCUUUCGGGGUUAGUGGCGGACGGGUGAGUAACACGUGGGAACGUGCCUUUAGGUUCGGAAUAACUCAGGGAAACUUGUGCUAAUACCGAAUGUGCCCUUCGGGGGAAAGAUUUAUCGCCUUUAGAGCGGCCCGCGUCUGAUUAGCUAGUUGGUUGAGGUAAUGGCUCACCAAGGCGACGAUCAGUAGCUGGUCUGAGAGGAUGAUCAGCCACAUUGGGACUGAGACACGGACCAAACUCCUACGGGAGGCAGCAGUGGGGAAUCUUGCGCAAUGGGCGAAAGCCUGACGAAGCCAUGCCGCGUGAAUGAUGAAGGUCUUAGGAUUGUAAAAUUCUUUCACCGGGGACGAUAAUGACGGUACCCGGAGAAGAAGCCCCGGCUAACUUCGUG
rnacentral:rRNA from 1 species